rnacentral:rRNA from 1 species
GACGAACGCUGGCGGCGUGCUUAAUACAUGCAAGUCGAGCGGACUCCAACCACUCGCAAGAGUGGGGAAGAGUUAGCGGCGAACGGGUGAGUAACACGUGAGGAACCUGCCCUGGAGACCGGGAUAACUCCCCGAAAGGGGUGCUAAUACCGGAUGUCCUCAUCGGAUCGCAUGGUCUGAUGAGGAAAUGGAUUCCGCUCCAGGAGGGCCUCGCGGCCUAUCAGCUGUUGGUGAGGUAACGGCUCACCAAGGCCUCGACGGGUAGCUGGUCUGAGAGGACGAUCAGCCACACUGGGACUGAGACACGGCCCAGACUCCUACGGGAGGCAGCAGUAGGGAAUCUUGGACAAUGGGGAAACCCUGAUCCAGCGAUGCCGCGUGAGCGAAGAAGGCCUUAGGGUUGUAAAGCUCUUUCGCCCGCGACGAUAAUGACGAGU